rnacentral:rRNA from 1 species
GGGACACGUGGUAUCCUGUCUGAAUAUGGGGGGACCAUCCUCCAAGGCUAAAUACUCCUGACUGACCGAUAGUGAACCAGUACCGUGAGGGAAAGGCGAAAAGAACCCCGGCGAGGGGAGUGAAAAAGAACCUGAAACCGUGUACGUACAAGCAGUGGGAGCCUCUUAAUGGGGUGACUGCGUACCUUUUGUAUAAUGGGUCAGCGACUUAUAUUCUGUAGCAAGGUUAACCGAAUAGGGGAGCCGAAGGGAAACCGAGUCUUAACUGGGCGUUAAGUUGCAGGGUAUAGACCCGAAACCCGGUGAUCUAGCCAUGGGCAGGUUGAAGGUUGGGUAACACUAACUGGAGGACCGAACCGACUAAUGUUGAAAAAUUAGCGGAUGACUUGUGGCUGGGGGUGAAAGGCCAAUCAAACCGGGAGAUAGCUGGUUCUCCCCGAAAGCUAUUUAGGUAGCGCCUCGUGAAUUCAUCUCCGGGGGUAGAGCACUGUUUCGGCAAGGGGGUCAUCCCGACUUACCAACCCGAUGCAAACUGCGAAUACCGGAGAAUGUUAUCACGGGAGACACACGGCGGGUGCUAACGUCCGUCGUGAAGAGGGAAACAACCCAGACCGCCAGCUAAGGUCCCAAAGUCAUGGUUAAGUGGGAAACGAUGUGGGAAGGCCCAGACAGCCAGGAUGUUGGCUUAGAAGCAGCCAUCAUUUAAAGAAAGCGUAAUAGCUCACUGGUCGAGUCGGCCUGCGCGGAAGAUGUAACGGGGCUAAACCAUGCACCGAAGCUGCGGCAGCGACGCUUAUG